AAAUUGAAGAGUUUGAUCAUGGCUCAGAUUGAACGCUGGCGGCAGGCCUAACACAUGCAAGUCGAACGGUACACAG
rnacentral:rRNA from 1 species